rnacentral:rRNA from 1 species
CCUACGGGAGGCAGCAGUGGGGAAUAUUGGGCAAUGGAGGAAACUCUGACCCAGCAACGCCGCGUGAAGGAUGAAGGUUUUCGGAUUGUAAACUUCUGUCGCGAGGGAUGAAGAAUGACGGUACCUCGUAAGAAAGCCCCGGCAAACUACGUGCCAGCAGCCGCGGUAAUACGUAGGGGGCGAGCGUUGUCCGGAAUGACUGGGCGUAAAGCGCUCGUAGGCGGUAUGUCAAGUCAAGGGUGAAAGCCCCGCGCUCAACGUGGGAACUGCCGUUGAAACUGGCAAACUGGAGUGUGUGAGAGGAUAGUGGAAUUCCAGGUGUAGGAGUGAAAUCCGUAGAUAUCUGGAGGAACAUCAGUGGCGAAGGCGACUAUCUGGCACAUAACUGACGCUGAGGAGCGAAAGCGUGGGUAGCAAACAGGAUUAGAUACCCGGGUAGUC